rnacentral:rRNA from 1 species
GACAGAGGCCUCAAGCGUUAGGCGGAAUCACUGGGCUUAAAGCGUGUGUAGGCGGAUGCCUAAGUACCUUGUGAAAUCCCACGGCUCAACCGUGGAACUGCUGGGUAUACUGGGCGUCUUGGGCCAUUCAGGGGCGACUGGAACAAGCGGUGGAGCGGUGAAAUGCGUAGAUAUCGCUUGGAACGCCGAAGGUGAAAACAGGUAGCUGGGAGUGUGCUGACGCUGAGACACGAAAGCCAGGGGAGCGAACGGG